rnacentral:rRNA from 1 species
GACGAACGCUGGCGGCGUGCUUAACACAUGCAAGUCGAACGGAAAGGCCCUGCUUUUGUGGGGUGCUCGAGUGGCGAACGGGUGAGUAACACGUGAGUAACCUGCCCUUGACUUUGGGAUAACUUCAGGAAACUGGGGCUAAUACCGGAUAGGAGCUCCUGCUGCAUGGUGGGGGUUGGAAAGUUUCGGCGGUUGGGGAUGGACUCGCGGCUUAUCAGCUUGUUGGUGGGGUAGUGGCUUACCAAGGCUUUGACGGGUAGCCGGCCUGAGAGGGUGACCGGCCACAUUGGGACUGAGGUACGGCCCAGACUCCUACGGGAGGCAGCGGUGGGGAAUAUUGCACAAUGGGCGGAAGCCUGAUGCAGCAACGCCGCGUGCGGGAUGACGGCCUUCGGGUUGUAAACCGCUUUCGCCUGUGACGAAGCGUGAGUGACGGUAAUGAAUAAAGAAGCACCGGCUAACUACGUG